rnacentral:rRNA from 1 species
GACGAACCGUGCGAACGUUUAUUCGGAAUCACUGGGCUUAAAGCGCGUGUAGGCGGGUCGGCACGUCGGUCGCUGAAAUCCCCCGGCUCAACCGGGGAACGGGCCCCGAUACGACCGACCUGGAGGGGGGUAGGGGGAGCCGGAACUUCCGGUGGAGCGGUGAAAUGCGUUGAGAUCGGAAGGAACGCCCGUGGCGAAAGCGGGCUCCUGGACCCCACCUGACGCUGAGACGCGAAAGCCAGGGGAGCGAACGGG